rnacentral:misc_RNA from 1 species
AACAUCGCGCACCUGCGGGAACCUGCGGAGGGAUCAUUAAUGAUUGGUGGCUGUUGCUGACUAGUGUUUCUAGUAUGUGCACGCCACACCUUCAAUCCCACUUACACCUGUGCACCUUCUGUAAUAGAUCUAUGUGGAUGCGGAGAUAUGAAAGUUUGCGCUCUCGUACUCUGUUGAAGCAGUCUACUACGUUUUUUUACACACACACAAUAGUCAUUGAAUGUAUUUUUUAUUCUUAUG